UUAAAACUCAAGAUUGCUGAAACGUGCAACGCCUGUCUGUUUAAAAGAGCCGACCACGCUGCGAGCGGAAGGCGCGGGUUGGCGUAAGUUGUGACUGUUCUGACGGAAUUCAAAGUUUGUUUAAUAUUUGUUUUUCAUAUAUUUUGUACAACUUUCUUUGUUUCUGGGUGACCCAGAGGGGAGAGAAUUUGCGGUGUCACAACUUGUGAGGGUGUGUGUUGGUGAGCAGGCCGCCCUCUGGAAAAGUGAGUUAAUUAUUUCUUCACGUUACUUGAAGUUCUAAAAAUAUUUACAAAUCAUUUAAUUCAUGAAUGUAUGUUUAUUAGGAAGCAAAUGCACUUUAAUGAGACAAAUUUGUGACUGUGAUAUUACCUGUAGCCAUGUAUUUACUUGAAUUUUGCUCUGUUUUCUGUCUGUUUAGGACAGGUCACUACUGUUGUCUAUACUAGCAACGUUUGCAUUUUUUUACUGUCCUGUAUAGUGUGCAAGUGCACCUGUCUCUUACUAAUAUUGAGAUCCUUAUUUUGUAUUUUUAUUGUUCAUUCCAACUGUUAAAAUUCACAACAAAACAAAUUAAUACUGUGUUCUACUGGGCACAGUCGGGAAAUAAAACAAACCCACAAAGAGAGUUUUCUGUGUCCUGUCUUUCCAUCACGACUGGGUCACAUUUUGGUGUCAGAAGUGGGAUUUCCCGUUUAGUUUUGAGUUUUAAGUUUUAUAGAGAGACAGUGAGCAGAGCUUUAUAGACAACAGUAGUGGCUGGGAAGAUUCCAGUCCUGGUCCGGGAUGGAGACGACUGCGGUGCGAGGGUCCUGAGGUGGUCGUGUGCUGUGGCGGCUAGUGCAACAGGACGAGGAGGAAGUCUACAUCGGCGGUCCAAGGAAGAGAGAAAGCAGGACAGAGACAUUUGAACUGUUGCAUCUCAACACAAAGUGACUGCGUGAUCCCGCGGUAGAAAGAACUCAGAGACAUGUCGCAAGAGGACGAGGGAGCAGGCCCUUCAGGGGCUGGACGAGGCUCAGAUGAAGACAGCCAAGCUGCCCCUUCGCUUGACAGUGGAGAUUGCUGAAACGUGCAACGCCUGUCUGUUUAAAAGAGCCGACCACGCUGCGAGCGGAAGGCGCGGGUUGGCGUAAGUUGUGACUGUUCUGACGGAAUUCAAAGUUUGUUUAAUAUUUGUUUUUCAUAUAUUUUGUACAACUUUCUUUGUUUCUGGGUGACCCAGAGGGGAGAGAAUUUGCGGUGUCACAACUUGUGAGGGUGUGUGUUGGUGAGCAGGCCGCCCUCUGGAAAAGUGAGUUAAUUAUUUCUUCACGUUACUUGAAGUUCUAAAAAUAUUUACAAAUCAUUGAAUUCAUGAAUGUAUGUUUAUUAGGAAGCAAAUGCACUUUAAUGAGACAAAUUUGUGACUGUGAUAUUACCUGUAGCCAUGUAUUUACUUGAAUUUUGCUCUGUUUUCUGUCUGUUUAGGACAGGUCACUACUGUUGUCUAUACUAGCAACGUUUGCAUUUUUUUACUGUCCUGUAUAGUGUGCAAGUGCACCUGUCUCUUACUAAUAUUGAGAUCCUUAUUUUGUAUUUUUAUUGUUCAUUCCAACUUUUAAAAUUCACAACA